GCAUCCAUAUUCGAACUUUCGGAUUGACUUGGCGUAAUAGACUAUUCGCUGAGGAAUCUAACUUCGGUUAGAGCCGGGUUUGAACUAGGAAGCUCCUAAUCUAGCUUAGUCUACUUUUAGAUUAGAUCUCAAAUCAGGUAGGAUUACCCGCUGAACUUAAGCAUAUCAAUAAGCGGAGGAAAAGAAACUAACAAGGAUUCCCCUAGUAGCGGCGAGCGAAGCGGGAAGAGCUCAAAUUUAUAAUCUGGCGCUUUCGGCGUCCGAGUUGUAAUCUCUAGAAGUGUUUUCCGCGUUGGACCGCACAUAAGUCUGUUGGAAUACAGCGGCACAGUGGUGAGACCCCCGUUCACGGUGCGGAUGCCCAAUGCUUUGUGAUACACUUUCGAAGAGUCGAGUUGUUUGGGAAUGCAGCUCAAAUUGGGUGGUAAAUUCCAUCUAAAGCUAAAUAUUGGCGAGAGACCGAUAGCGAACAAGUACCGUGAGGGAAAGAUGAAAAGCACUUUGGAAAGAGAGUUAACAGUACGUGAAAUUGUUGGAAGGGAAACGCUUGAAGUCAGACUUGCUAUUCGGGGCUUGCUCCGAGUUGCAGGCCAGCAUCAGUUUUUCGGGGCGGAAAAUCACGGAUUGAAGGUAGCAGUUUCGGCUGUGUUAUAGCUUUCCGUUGGAUACGUCCUGGGGGACUGAGGAACGCAGUGUGCUUUUAGCGAGGGCUUC
rnacentral:rRNA from 1 species